AAUGGGAAAAGCUCAAAUUUGAAAUCUGGCAGUUCUUACUGUCCGAAUUGUAAUCUAGAGAAGUGCUUACCUGUGCUAGACCAUGUAUAAGUCUCUUGGAAUGGAGUAUCACAGAGGGUGAGAAUCCCGUCUUUGACAUGGACUACUAGCACUUUAUGGUGUGCUCUCAAAGAGUCGAGUUGUUUGGGAUUGCAGCUCAAAAUGGGUGGUAAAUGCCAUCUAAAGCUAAAUAUUGGCGAGAGACCGAUAGCGAACAAGUACCGUGAGGGAAAGAUGAAAAGAACUUUGGAAAGAGAGUUAAACAGUACGUGAAAUUGCUGAAAGGGAAACGCUUGAAGUCAGUCGCAUUGGCUGGAAAUCAACCUUGCUUUUGCUUGGUGUACUUUCUGGUUGAUGGGUCAGCAUCAAUUUUGACUACUGGAUAAAGUCUUUGGGAAUGUGGCAUCUUUUGGAUGUGUUAUAGCCUAUUGUCGUAUACAGUGGUUGGGAUUGAGGAACUCAGCACGCCUUUUCAAAAGGUCGGGUUUUUUUUUUAACCACGUUCGUGCUUAAGAUGCUGGCAUAAUGGCUUUAAUCCACCCGUCUUGGAACACGGACCAAGGAGUCUAACAUU
rnacentral:rRNA from 1 species